GCACUAUAUAUACAUAUCAAAGGGACUCUUGUUAUACAUCUUAGUUUCCAAUGUUUAUCUUCAUUGCGUUUAUGCCCAAUCAUUGUAGGUCUCGCAAGUGGAUAGGAUUGAAUGUGAAGCGUAGCCAAGGAUGACUUGCCGCUAUAUCUCUUCUCUUCAUUCACCAUUUUCACAGAAAAUUAAAGAAUGAGAAUAGAGAAAACAUCAAAAGUACCAUAAAGGAUAUGGUGAAGCGGAUGGAGUUGCUCCUCCCUUAGCCAGAGGUAUGGAGUUCGAGUCUUGGUCAUGAAAAAAUCCUUGGUAGGGAGCGCUUCCCCCUGAAUGGCCCUACACAGCGUGAAUCCAAAUAUAGUCGGGCUCCAAUACGGGUACCGGCCGGGUGGAACCGAAAAAAGAGGAAAAAAAAACAUCAAAAGUAGAAAAGAAAAUGGACUUCAUAAUUAUUUGAGAAAAUCGGCAAGUUAUCUUUGGCUAGGGUUUCUUUCUCAUAUUCACAUGUUGGAUCUACGAUGAAUAUGAGGAGUACGGCUCGAUCAGGCCUUACUCACUCAACAAGGACAGAAACUUCACUCACGGAGGAAAGAAAAUCAGAAUAUGUGAAAUCAUCAAUUGUUCUAAUACUCUGAUCAAGGAUGGCUUCUGAUCCUAUGUUGAGAAAUUUCUUGAUUUUCCACAAAGGGUCAAUGAAUCUUAGUGUCACAAUGACAUUUGCAGCAUCAAAUGCCUUUGCAAAGCUAUUUUCUGGUAAAUUUGGAUCCAAUGUUCCUAUCUCUACACCAAAUCCCACCUUACAUAUUGAGUCCAGAGUCAUCCUCAUCAAGAGAUCCUGAAAAAAAAAAGAUUUGAUUAGCAACAAUACAAAAAUAAACCAGCUAGAAAGUUCUAAUAUCUCUGUCCCAUUUUACAUGACACGGUUUUCUUUUUAGAGCCUAUUUGGAUUAGCUGAUUCUAAAUUCCUAAUAAGCAAAUUUAAGUGCUGAAAUUAAUUUUAUAAACAAACAAUAUUACUUGUUUAGAUAAAAAUGACACUUGAUGUUUUAGGUAAAAUGUUCUUAUAGAAUAAUUUAUACAUUUAGUCAAAUACCCUCUAAAUUUGAAAGAAUUCAAACAUUUUUUACUUUAAGAACGACAUCUUCUUUUUUGAAAAAAAAUCCACUUUAAUCUUUCAAUUCUAUCCUUAAUUACAUAACGUAUAACCACACAAAUAUUUGUGUAUAUGUUUUAGAUUAUAAAUUUUAAAAGUUUUUCUUUCUUUCUUAAACUCCAUAUCCAGUCAAACACUAUUAUAUAUAAAAAAGAGACGAAGGGAGUAUCUUAAUCAUUGUAUUUCAUGUCUAAGCAGAAUUCAGCAACUCACCUGCAUGUCUACUUGCUCAUUCUUGAAAGAUGCUUGAUUUAGAAUCUUAAAGAGUUUAAGACUAUAGUCCCUGAAAACUACAGUAUUGAAAUCCCUUAAAUUCUUUGAAGCAAACUCAAAGCUAGCAGUCUUCCUUUGUUUCCUCCAAAGCUCACCAUCCACAUUAAAGAUGCCAUCUCCAAGCAACACUUCCAUAUAUGAAUGAUACACUUCACCCUGUGCCAAAGCAAAAAUCAACCAUUCAUUCUCAUGCAUGCUAGACUAAAACCAUAUGUCAGCUGAAAGAAAAUAAGAUUUUCAUAUAGUGAAUAUAGAAAAAAAUCACGCGCCUAUUGUUUUGGGGAAAAAUUACAUCUCAAUACCUUUUGGGUGAUCUAGUUUACAAAAUAGCCAACAACGUAUAGAUUUUGUAAUAUUUUUACUUAAAUAUACAUAAACUUUACAUAUAAUAGGCAUAUACUACACUUAUAAUAUACGUAUACCAUACUUAUAAUAUACAUAUUAGUUUAUAGAUUUUGUAUAUUUGGGCUACUGCCGGUAAUUAAGGUUGGCUGAAGAUGCAUAUGCAUAACUUUCCCUUUUUUUUUCCCUUUUUUUUUAAAAAAAUGAAAAGCAAGAGAGUACAAGUAUAAGCUGAAUAGGUUGAUGAGUAGCCUUGGAGCCGAGAAAGAAAGUAGACUCAACAUGCUAAGGAGUAGGCCUGGAGCAAGACAAAGACGAGAGAAGCCCAAAGCAGCUUAAUUGGUUGAGUUCAGAGAGAAGCCAAGAGCAAUACAUAUAGGGGGCUUCUUACGUACAUAUACCGUCGGCCGAACUUAAUUACUGGCAUUAGUCCAAAUAUACACAAUCUAUACACUAAUAUGUAUAUUACACGUAUGGUAUAUGUAUAUUUAUAGUAUAAAUAUACAAAAUCUAUAUAUUUGUUGGA